rnacentral:antisense_RNA from 1 species
UGCCUGGAGUGAAGAUUCUGCCCAUUGGUCAAGAGACCUCCCUCUCAGAUGCUGGCUCUGCCCCUGCCUUUGGGGGUCGACCCUUGUACUCGCAGGACCUUAGGUGACUCUGUAAGUAUAGUAAAACGCAGUUAAUCUGAUGUUAUCAUUCAAUCUUUUUUAAAAAGUGGAGCAACCAGUUGACAGGUAAGACUUUUUCCUGACAUCUGUGGUUGUUUAUUUAAAAGAACAGACAAUAUUUAAAAUGAAAGACAAACUCAGAGGUUGCAGUGAGCCGAGAUCACACCACUGCACUCCAGCCAAGGUGACAGAGCAAGACCUCUUCUCAAAAGAGAAAAAGCACCCACAAUUCCAACUGAAAGUUAACUACAUUCUAUAUUUUGUCAUAAUUUGUUUUCCAUCGCUUUUUGUAUUUACAUUUAUUUUACAUAUUUAAAUAAAUCUGUAUGUAUAGUUUUGUAUCCUACUUUUUUUGUUUUUUACUUAACAUUGUAACCAUUUUCCUAUGUCACUAAAAACUAAAAAUUUUUGACAGCUGUAUCAUAUUCUACUGUAUGGAUAUACUGUAAUUUACUUAACCAUUCUCUAAUGUUGCAUAUACUAUUUACAAUAUUUUUCUAUUAAAAAACAACUGACAUUAA